GAUGCACGCUGGCGGCGUGCCUAAUACAUGCAAGUCGAACGCGCAGCGAAAGGUGCUUGCACCUUUCAAGCGAGUGGCGAACGGGUGAGUAACACGUGGAUAACCUGCCUCAAGGCUGGGGAUAACAUUUGGAAACAGAUGCUAAUACCGAAUAAAACUUAGUAUCGCAUGAUACAAAGUUGAAAAGGCGCUACGGCGUCACCUAGAGAUGGGUCCGCGGUGCAUUAGUUAGUUGGUGGGUAAAGGCCUACCAAGACAAUGAUGCAUAGCCGAGUUGAGAGACUGAUCGGCCACAUUGGGACUGAGACACGGCCCAAACUCCUACGGGAGGCUGCAGUAGGGAAUCUUCCACAAUGGGCGAAAGCCUGAUGGAGCAAACGCCGCGUGUGUGAUGAAGGCUUUAGGGUCGUAAAGC
rnacentral:rRNA from 1 species